rnacentral:rRNA from 1 species
AUUGAACGCUGGCGGCAUGCUUUACACAUGCAAGUCGAACGGUAACAGCACUUCGGUGUCCUCCUAGUGGCGGACGGUGGAGUAAUACAUCGGAACGUGCCUGGUACUUGGUGAUAGCUACUCGUAAGAGUAGCUAAUACCCCAUGAUAUCUAAGAAUGAAAGCAGGGGACCGUCGGGCCUUGCGCUACUAUAGCGGCUGAUGGCAGAUUAUGUAGUUGGUGGGAUAAAAGCUUACCAAGCCGACGAUCCGUAGCGGGCCUGAGAGGACGAACAGCCACACUGGGACUGAGACACGGCCCAGACUCCUAAGGGAGGCAGCAGUGGGGAAUUUUGGACAAUGGGCGGAAGCCUGAUCCAGCAAUGACGCGUGGAGGAUAAAGGCCUUCGGGUUGUAAAAUCCUUUUGUACGGAAAGAAAAGCCAUCUUCUAAUACAGGCGGGUCAUGACGGUACCGUAAGAAAAAGCCACGGCUAACUACGUG